CAGGCCCCCCUGGCAAGGUUCCAUCACCGUCUGAAGGAACAAGUAGGUUCAUCCAAAUGAACCCUUGCUAUUAUCAAGUAGGUUCAUCCAAAUGAACUCUUGCUAUUAUCAAUGCGUAGCGCUUCUAAUGCAGACUAUUGAAGGUAUUCCAAAUGCAGUGGCAGUUCAGCUUGAUGCAAUGGAUUAUGGAAGCCUUUGUUAGUAUAUUGCAGAAGUGAAAGUUGUAAUCAGUCUGUUGCCACCCAGCCCCAGUUGUCAUACUCAUAUAGCGAAUGCAUGUAUAUUGAGGUACUCACUGCAUCACAUUUCUAUUCUAGUAUUGUUAGUCCUGCCCAUCCCUCCAUAAUAGAAACUGUGUGAUCCUUGACUAGAGGAUGUGUGUAAUAUCCUUGGGUCUGUACAAGUACAACUAAGGCCCAUGGAUCCAAACUGCUGAUCUGAUGGCCCCAUUGUGAAUUUGACCCAAGCAUCUCCUUGAUGGGACAAUCCGAUCUCUUUUGCUUGAACAUGAACGGACACCAUGGGGCCCAAUAGGCAGGAUAUUGUGGAAAGCUCUUUUGAAGGCAAUGUUGUUGUGCAUUUUGGGCUGAAAGGGACUCUCAGAUUUUUCAGGACCUUGUAAAGAUGGAAGUGGAUGUGUUUCAACUCAUCCAGGACUAUGCCAAAACAUGGAGCAUGCAAGUAAGAGAUGUUAACAGGUAUCCCUAAAUCUGUAUCUUCUAACUGGAAAGAAAUCAUUAGGUUUGGUGGACCCUGGGGAAGAGAGUAAAUGUUGGCAGGCCCCUCAGCUGGACCAGAGUAAAACAGACUCUACAGGUAAAUGCUUGUUAGUUAUGUACAUAAAAGGCCAUCACAUUGUGGAGCUCUUCAUCUGCUUGAUGGACUUCAUUGAAUUGAGUAUGUCUUUCUAUUUUGAAGUCUUUCAUUGCAGAUUUUGGUUUUUGCUGAGACUGAUCAGAGAUUAUUCAUUUCUUUGUUUAAUUGGGACUUCCAAUAUUGUGUUUAUAGGGGAAUUGUGGAUGGUGGCCUUGCACUACCAUCAGCAUCAGGACCGCAAACCCCUACCAGAUCCUCAAAAGUGUACCAGGUGGAUCUUGGACCAAGCUCUUCGAGAGAUUGCUCCUCUCAACAUGGAUUGUGGAACUGGUAGAAACUCAGAUGAUGAAACCUCUGUUAAUAAUGUUGACAUGGAUGGUUCUCAAGAAGUUACUACUGAUGCUGUCAACACUUGAGGCCUUGAUGUCGAAUUGAGAUAUACACAUGAGGUGUCCAUCUUAUUGGGAUCGCCUUAUCAUCCCUUCUGAUUUCUUAUACGUGUCCUUUUUAUCCACGUGCGAGGUGAGGUGCACUUUCAAAGGUGCACUCGAGGGAGUGUACUCUGCAUACCUCCAUUGAAAGGAGCCCUUGUCAGACGCGUUGGGUGAAAACAAAAUGAUUUGGCGAGAAA